rnacentral:rRNA from 1 species
GGAUGCCUUAAAUACGGCGAGUGAGCGGCAAAAGCUCAAAUUUGAAAUCUGGUACCUUCGGUGCCCGAGUUGUAAUUUGGAGAGGGCAACUUUGGGGCCGUUCCUUGUCUAUGUUCCUUGGAACAGGACGUCAUAGAGGGUGAGAAUCCCGUGUGGCGAGGAGUGCGGUUCUUUGUAAAGUGCCUUCGAAGAGUCGAGUUGUUUGGGAAUGCAGCUCUAAGUGGGUGGUAAAUUCCAUCUAAAGCUAAAUAUUGGCGAGAGACCGAUAGCGAACAAGUACAGUGAUGGAAAGAUGAAAAGAACUUUGAAAAGAGAGUGAAAAAGUACGUGAAAUUGUUGAAAGGGAAGGGCAUUUGAUCAGACAUGGUGUUUUGUGCCCUCUGCUCCUUGUGGGUAGGGGAAUCUCGCAUUUCACUGGGCCAGCAUCAGUUUUGGUGGCAGGAUAAAUCCAUAGGAAUGUAGCUUGCCUCGGUAAGUAUUAUAGCCUGUGGGAAUACUGCCAGCUGGGACUGAGGACUGCGACGUAAGUCAAGGAUGCUGGCAUAAUGGUUAUAUGCCGCCCGUCUUGAACCACGGACCAAAG